rnacentral:rRNA from 1 species
CUGGCUCAGGAUGAACGCCGGCGGUGUGCCUAAUACAUGCAAGUCGAACGCGUUGGCCCAAUUGAUUGACGGUGCUUGCACCUGAUUGAUUUUGGUCGCCAACGAGUGGCGGACGGGUGAGUAACACGUAGGUAACCUGCCCAGAAGCGGGGGACAACAUUUGGAAACAGAUGCUAAUACCGCAUAACAGCGUUGUUCGCAUGAACAACGCUUAAAAGAUGGCUUCUCGCUAUCACUUCUGGAUGGACCUGCGGUGCAUUAGCUUGUUGGUGGGGUAACGGCCUACCAAGGCGAUGAUGCAUAGCCGAGUUGAGAGACUGAUCGGCCACAAUGGGACUGAGACACGGCCCAUACUCCUACGGGAGGCAGCAGUAGGGAAUCUUCCACAAUGGGCGCAAGCCUGAUGGAGCAACACCGCGUGAGUGAAGAAGGGUUUCGGCUCGUAAAGCUCUGUUGUUAAAGAAGAACACGUAUGAGAGUAACUGUUCAUACGUUGACGGUAUUUAACCAGAAAGUCACGGCUAACUACGUGCCAGCAGCCGCGGUAAUACGUAGGUGGCAAGCGUUAUCCGGAUUUAUUGGGCGUAAAGAGAGUGCAGGCGGUUUUCUAAGUCUGAUGUGAAAGCCUUCGGCUUAACCGGAGAAGUGCAUCGGAAACUGGAUAACUUGAGUGCAGAAGAGGGUAGUGGAACUCCAUGUGUAGCGGUGGAAUGCGUAGAUAUAUGGAAGAACACCAGUGGCGAAGGCGGCUACCUGGUCUGCAACUGACGCUGAGACUCGAAAGCAUGGGUAGCGAACAGGAUUAGAUACCCUGGUAGUCCAUGCCGUAAACGAUGAGUGCUAGGUGUUGGAGGGUUUCCGCCCUUCAGUGCCGGAGCUAACGCAUUAAGCACUCCGCCUGGGGAGUACGACCGCAAGGUUGAAACUCAAAGGAAUUGACGGGGGCCCGCACAAGCGGUGGAGCAUGUGGUUUAAUUCGAAGCUACGCGAAGAACCUUACCAGGUCUUGACAUCUUGCGCCAACCCUAGAGAUAGGGCGUUUCCUUCGGGAACGCAAUGACAGGUGGUGCAUGGUCGUCGUCAGCUCGUGUCGUGAGAUGUUGGGUUAAGUCCCGCAACGAGCGCAACCCUUGUUACUAGUUGCCAGCAUUAAGUUGGGCACUCUAGUGAGACUGCCGGUGACAAACCGGAGGAAGGUGGGGACGACGUCAGAUCAUCAUGCCCCUUAUGACCUGGGCUACACACGUGCUACAAUGGACGGUACAACGAGUCGCGAACUCGCGAGGGCAAGCAAAUCUCUUAAAACCGUUCUCAGUUCGGACUGCAGGCUGCAACUCGCCUGCACGAAGUCGGAAUCGCUAGUAAUCGCGGAUCAGCAUGCCGCGGUGAAUACGUUCCCGGGCCUUGUACACACCGCCCGUCACACCAUGAGAGUUUGUAACACCCAAAGUCGGUGGGGUAACCUUUUAGGAGCCAGCCGCCUAAGGUGGGACAGAUGAUUAGGGUGAAGUCG